ensembl:snoRNA
AUUCUUCUGUAGUUCAUAAACAUGAUGAUUGAGUUUUCACAUUCAUAUGUGAGAAGUGCCUCCCUCAAACCUUGUUAAUAUGUUAGCACAUUACCUGUCUGAUG